GACGAACGCUGGCGGCGUGCUUAACACAUGCAAGUCGAACGAAGUGGCGAACGGGUGAGUAACGCGUAAACAACCUGCCCUUCAGAGGGGGACAACAGUAGGAAACGACUGCUAAUACCGCAUACUGAAGGAGGGGCUUGCGGCUGAUUAGCUCGUUGGAGGGGUAACGGCCCACAAAGGCGAUGAUCAGUAGCCGGGCUGAGAGGGUGAACGGCAAAAUUGGGACUGAGACACGGCCCAGACUCCUACGGGAGGCAGCAGUGGGGAAUCUUCCGGAAUGGACGAAAGUCUGACGGAGCAACGCCGCGGGAGUGAUGACGGCCUUCGGGUUGGAAAGCUCUGUUAAUCAGGACGCGGUACCGGAAUAGAAAGCCACGGCUAACUACGUGCCAGCAGCCGCGGUAAUUC
rnacentral:rRNA from 1 species